GCGAAGAUUUAUCAGCGAAGAUGUUGCAGAAAAUGACCAAGAUCUUUGUGAGAGGGCGAUGCCUGAACUUUAAGCUUCAGAGAGUGGACAUCUCCAUGAAUGAAGGGAUCAGAUGACGAGUGUCAACAAUGAAAGCUUGAAUAUUUUUGUCUGACAACCACCAGUGGAGACCAGUGGACCAGUGAAAUCAAGAAAUUAAUUGUCACCAAAAUUCUGAAUACCAAAAUACUUAAAGUCCUACAUUUCCUUAUCUAGAUUUAAGAUUUUCAGAUGAUUUCAUAUUUCAAAUCUUUAAUCAACCAAGGAGAACUAUAGAAAUCAAAUUACCAAGCAGGAUUACUCUAUUUUAUUGCUUGAACUUAAUCGGCCAUUAACUUUUUAAUCCAGUGGCAUGGGUGUGGCCAUUUUUUUCUGUCAGUUUGCAACUUUUAGCUACUCUGCUAUAUUUCUACAGCAGAGUAACUCAGAUUUGCAAACAGACGUUCAGGCUAUAGGAUCACAAUGUUAUUGGCUGAACAAUUCAAGCAAUGAAAUUGAGAACUGUAGCUCAGUUAUCUUAUUUCCAUUGUCAUACUUCAUUGAUAAGUCAUAUGAAAUGAUAAUAUCACAUUGAACUUUGAAAAAAAUAUAUUAGGGGUCUAGUCUGGUUGGUUGUCAAAGUCUUUGACUCUGUGAAUUUCUAUUUUAUUUAAUUAUUUCACGUGGUCCACUGGUCGGUCAUCGGUGGACUGGACUGGUCAGUUCAACUCAGCCCUAGUUUGAAGUGAAAACAAGUGCAGAGUCCUAUCCAAGAAAGUAAAGGCCUAACAUCAAGGAUUCAUCUGGAACAAGCGGCCCAACAGGAAGCAGGGAACAUGGAACUAGAAUAUAAAGACAUCAUGAUGGAGGAUGAACUCAACGUACUCAUGAAAUAGUCCAGAGAAAUGUUAUCAGAA